GCUAGAAGCAACAGUCACAAUGCUCAUUCUGUGAGGGGCUUAUUCUAAUCAGGCAGGGAGUUUUAAAGUUUAACUUUCAUCUGGGAAACUAUGAGGAGUUUGUGUAGGCAACAGAAAAAAGUUGCUGAAAAUAACAACAACAACAAAAUCCCAACAGCUCCAAAGAGAAUGCAGUGUACCAGCAGAGUCACAGAAGGAAAAGACAUCCAAAUGUUUUGAGUUUAGCUAUUAAGCAUAGUUUCUAGAGAAUGUACUCAUGUCUUGAAAUGAAACAGAUGAAAGCAACAUGUGUCAAUGGUUUUAUGAAAGCAGUAAUGCCAUCAACAGGAAAUAAAGAAAUUGAAUACCGCUGCCUCAA